rnacentral:rRNA from 1 species
AACGAACGCUGGCGGCAUGCCUAAUACAUGCAAGUCGAACGAGAUCUUCGGAUCUAGUGGCGCACGGGUGCGUAACGCGUGGGAAUCUGCCCUUGGGUUCGGAAUAACUUCUGGAAACGGAAGCUAAUACCGGAUGAUGACGUAAGUCCAAAGAUUUAUCGCCCAAGGAUGAGCCCGCGUAGGAUUAGGUAGUUGGUGAGGUAAAGGCUCACCAAGCCGACGAUCCUUAGCUGGUCUGAGAGGAUGAUCAGCCACACUGGGACUGAGACACGGCCCAGACUCCUACGGGAAGCAGCAGUAGGGAACAUUGGACAAUGGGCGAAAGCCUGAUCCAGCAAUGCCGCGUGAGUGAUGAAGGCCUUAGGGUUGUAAAGCUCUUUUACCCGGGAUGAUAAUGACAGUACCGGGAGAAUAAGCUCCGGCUAACUCCGUG